CUACUAUCUCUGAACGUGUAAAUAAGAAUAAACAAACAAUAUGUUGAAAGUCAGACUUGGUUACAAAGGUUAUUAAGGAUACAGAAAAUGUAAAUGUACCUUUAGAGGGCAGCCUAUGCAAACCUACUUCCACUUCUCCCUUUUAAAAGCCCCCACUCUAUUCAUCUACAGACACAAAACUUGUUUAUGACUUUCUUGCAUCAAGUUCCUCUUUUCAUAACAUGGCAAUGGAUAUUGUGUCUAAACUGUGUUUUAUCUUCAUGUUUGCUCUCACAGAUUUCUGUUGGUGUCAGACACUGACUGAGUCUGAGUCAGCGGUCAUUAAACCUGGAGGAUCUCACAGACUUAUCUGUACAGCCUCUGGAUUUAGUGGUGACCAGCACUUGGCUUGGAUCAGACAGGCUGCAGGAGGAGGUCUGGAGUGGCUGGCAUACAUCUCAUCUGGCAGUGGUUCUAUAUACUACUCUCAGUCUGUUCAGGGACGGUUCACCAUCUCCAGAGACAACAGCAAGAAACAGAUGUAUCUGCAGAUGAAUAAUAUGAAGAAUGAAGACACUGCUGUAUAUUAUUGUGCAAGAGAGUCACAGUAACAAAUACAAC